GACGAACGCUGGCGGCGUGCUUAGCACAUGCAAGUCGAACGGAAAGGCCUCUUUCGGGGGGUACUCGAGUGGCGAACGGGUGAGUAACACGUGAGUAACCUGCCCUUGACUUUGGGAUAACUUCAGGAAACUGGGGCUAAUACCGGAUAGGAGCUCCUGCUGCAUGGUGGGGGUUGGAAAGUUUCGGCGGUUGGGGAUGGACUCGCGGCUUAUCAGCUUGUUGGUGGGGUAGUGGCUUACCAAGGCUUUGACGGGUAGCCGGCCUGAGAGGGUGACCGGCGACAUUGGGACUGAGAUACGGCCCAGACUCCUACGGGAGGCAGCAGUGGGGAAUAUUGCACAAUGGGUGGAAGCCUGAUGCAGCAACGCCGUGUGCGGGAUGACGGCCUUCGGGUUGUAAACCGCUUUCGCUCAUGACGAAGCUUUGUGUGACGGUAGUGGGUAAAGAAGCACCGGCUAACUACGUG
rnacentral:rRNA from 1 species